rnacentral:rRNA from 1 species
UACGUAGGGAGCAAGCGUUGUCCGGAAUCAUUGGGCGUAAAGCGCGCGUAGGCGGCCCUGUAAGUCCGUUGUGAAAGUCAAAGGCUCAACCUUUGAAAGCCGAUGGAUACUGCAGGGCUAGAGUCCGGAAGAGGCGAGUGGAAUUCCUGGUGUAGCGGUGAAAUGCGCAGAUAUCAGGAAGAACACCCGUGGCGAAAGCGGCUCUCUGGAACGGUACUGACGCUGAGACGCGAAAGCGUGGGGAGCGAACAGG